rnacentral:rRNA from 1 species
GACGAACGCUGGCGGCGUGCUUAACACAUGCAAGUCGAACGGUGAAGCGCCUUCCUUUUUGGUGGGUGUGGAUGAGUGGCGAACGGGUGAGUAACACGUGAGUAACCUGCCCCCUUCUUCUGGAUAACCGCAUGAAAGUGUGGCUAAUACGGGAUAUUCUGGGUCUGUCGCAUGAUGGGUCUGGGAAAGAUAUUGUUUCGGUGGGGGAUGGGCUCGCGGCCUAUCAGCUUGUUGGUGGGGUGAUGGCCUACCAAGGCGGGGACGGGUAGCCGGCCUGAGAGGGUGGACGGUCACACUGGGACUGAGACACGGCCCAGACUUCUACGGGAGGCAGCAGUGGGGAAUAUUGCACAAUGGGCGCAAGCCUGAUGCAGCGACGCCGCGUGAGGGAUGGAGGCCUUCGGGUUGUGAACCUCUUUCGCCAGUGAAGCAGGCCUGCCUCGUUUGUGGGUGGGUUGACGGUAGCUGGAGAAGAAGCGCCGGCUAACUACGUG